CCUACGGGUGACAGCAGUGAGGAAUAUUGGUCAAUGGCCGGAAGGCUGAACCAGCCAAGUCGCGUGAGGGACGACUGCCCUAUGGGUUGUAAACCUCUUUUGUAAGGGAAGAAUAAAUGCUACGUGUAGCAUGAUGCCUGUACCUUAUGAAUAAGCAUCGGCUAACUCCGUGCCAGCAGCCGCGGUAAUACGGAGGAUGCGAGCGUUAUCCGGAUUUAUUGGGUUUAAAGGGUGCGUAGGCGGUUUUCUAAGUUAGUGGUUAAACGUCGGGGCUUCACCUUGAUUUGCCAUUAAUACUGUAAGACUCGAGUUCAGACGAGGUAGGCGGAAUAAGUUAAGUAGCGGUGAAAUGCUUAGAUAUAACUUAGAACUCCGAUAGCGAAGGCAGCUUACCGGACUGCGACUGACGCUGAAGCACGAGAGCGUGGGUAGCGAACAGGAUUAGAUACCCUGGUAGUC
rnacentral:rRNA from 1 species